rnacentral:rRNA from 1 species
UACGUAGGGUGCGAGCGUUAAUCGGAAUUACUGGGCGUAAAGUGUGCGCAGGCGGCCGAGCAAGUCGAGUGUGAAAGCCCCGAGCUUAACUUGGGAACUGCGCUCGAAACUACUUGGCUAGAGUGUGGCAGAGGGAGGUGGAAUUCACGUGUAGCGGUGAAAUGCGUAGAGAUGUGGAGGAACACCGAUGGCGAAGGCAGCCUCCUGGGCCAACACUGACGCUCAUGCACGAAAGCGUGGGGAGCAAACAG